rnacentral:rRNA from 1 species
UAAUACGGAGGGUGCAAGCGUUAUCCGGAUUCACUGGGUUUAAAGGGUGCGUAGGUGGGCAAGUAAGUCAGUGGUGAAAUCUCCGGGCUUAACCCGGAAACUGCCAUUGAUACUAUUUGUCUUGAAUACUGUGGAGGUCAGCGGAAUAUGUCAUGUGGCGGUGAAAUGCUUAGAUAUGACAUAGAACACCAAUUGCGAAGGCAGCUGGCUACACAAAUAUUGACACUGAGGCACGAAAGCGUGGGGAUCAAACAGGAUUAGAUACCCUGGUAGUCCACGCCCUAAACUAUGGAUACUCGACAUUUGCGAUAAACUGCAAGUGUCUGAGCGAAAGCAUUAAGUAUCCCACCUGGGAAGUACGAUCGCAAGAUU